rnacentral:rRNA from 1 species
UACAACAUAGCCUUAAUGCACCGAAUCCCAUUAGAACUCCGCAGUUAAGCGUGUUCAGGCUAGAGUAGUACUAGGAUGGGUGAACACCCCAAGAAGUCCUAGUGUUUUAC